GCGGGGCGGCGUCGGGGGCGGUGUCCUGCGGAGUGUACGGAGCUCAGAACUGGAGACAGCCGGGCGGCGGCCGAGGCGACGGAGGCCCGCCCCUUUACAAGUUGGCAGUUUGUACCUGUGUUCCUCGGGACUUUAGAGCUCGGUCAAAAGGAGUAAUUAUCCUGGCACUAACUUCUUGGCUUAUUUUCAAGGCAAAGGAAAACCAAAAGAUUGUGAAGAUUGUUGUGGAGACCAGUGAUGGAUGGGCUUUGAUGCCCCUUUCUCCAGUGGGGCUUUUCUGAAUAGCCCCUAGUGCUGGCCUCCCAGUGUCACUUCGUAUGGGUAUCACCAAAGAAAUGGACAUUGAAAUUCAGUGACUGUCAUCUGGAAUUGUCACUCCGCAAUUAUGGAAAAUUAUUACUAUAUUAUUUACAAACCUGUUACUGAAAAUAAAGCCAAUGUAGGUAUGCAUCAGUUUA